CCAAAAUAUUGGGACAUAUAAUAAAAGACAACUCUGUUCCGCAGAGUAGCUGUUGACAUUAUAGUUGCGCAGGCACUUUGCUGACUCUAGAGAACCUCGGGCAAUCGCACAUCCCCGUGGCGGCGACUUUGCAUGCAGAUGUCAUCCAUAUCAACUUUCGAUGCCAGUUUCUGCGCCUACCAUGGUGACCACGGGUAACGGGGAAUCAGGGUUCCAUUCCAUACAGGGACCCUGAGAAAUGGCUACCUCAUGCAAGGAAGGCAGCAGGCGCGCAAAUGACCCACUCCCGACGCGGGAAGGACUUUAUAGG